rnacentral:tRNA from 1 species
ACCCCGGUAGCUCAGUUGGAUAGAGCACGCGCCUUCUAAGCGCGUGGUCGGCGGUUCGAAUCCGCCCCGGGGUG